CCUACGGGAGGCAGCAGUGGGGAAUAUUGGACAAUGGGCGAAAGCCUGAUCCAGCAAUUCCGCGUGUGUGAAGAAGGCCUUCGGGUUGUAAAGCACUUUAGUUGGGGAAGAAACAGCUUGGCCACACCAAGCCUUGACGGUACCCAAAGAAUAAGCACCGGCUAACUCUGUGCCAGCAGCCGCGGUAAUACAGAGGGUGCAAGCGUUAAUCGGAUUUACUGGGCGUAAAGGGUGCGUAGGUGGUUUUGUAAGUCGGAUGUGAAAGCCUGGGGCUCAACCUCAGAAUUGCACUCGAUACUGCAAGACUAGAGUUCGGUAGAGGGCGGCGGAAUUCCCGGUGUAGCGGUGAAAUGCGUAGAUAUCGGGAGGAACAUCAAUGGCGAAGGCAGCCGCCUGGGCCUGAACUGACACUGAGGCACGAAAGCGUGGGUAGCAAACAGGAUUAGAUACCCUGGUAGUCCACGCUGUAAACGAUGAGAACUUGACGUUGGUUCGUUUUACGAAUCGGUGUCGCAGCUAACGCGAUAAGUUCUCCGCCUGGGGAGUACGGCCGCAAGGUUGAAACUCAAAAGUAGUAAGUUAGGACGUCGUAGAACGUACGUCGACCGAACGGCCAACGACGGAGGGUAGAGG
rnacentral:rRNA from 1 species